AAAGUGCGAUAAGCAAUGCGAAUUGCAGAAUUCCGCGAAUCAUCAGAUCCUUGAACGCAACUGGCGCUAGGGGGCUCUCCCUCUAGCAUGUCUGUUUCAGUGUCUGAAAACAUCAUAUUUUAAAACUUAAUGUGGUUGAUAAAGAGAAGGAAUCUUUCCUUUUUUCUAAAUCUUCCAUUAAAGAUGUACAUGUGGGUCUUUGAACCCCUCAUCGAAUUGGUCACUGGUCUCUCAGUGAUUUCGAUAGGGUUAGAAUCAAUUACCUGUUAUACAUGUAGUCUCUUUGUGAGGUGUAAUUCAUUACACACCACAUAACAUCAAACUCUGCAUCUGAAAUCAGGCAAGAACACCCGCUGAACUUAA
rnacentral:misc_RNA from 1 species